rnacentral:rRNA from 1 species
GACAGAGGCCUCAAGCGUUAGGCGGAAUUACUGGGCGUAAAGCGUGCGCAGGCGGUGAUGUAAGACAGAUGUGAAAUCCCCGGGCUCAACCUGGGAACUGCAUUUGUGACUGCAUCGCUGGAGUUUGGCAGAGGGGGGUAGAAUUCCACGUGUAGCAGUGAAAUGCGUAGAGAUGUGGAGGAACACCGAUGGCGAAGGCAGCCCCCUGGGCCAACACUGACGCUCAGGCACGAAAGCGUGGGGAGCAAACAGG